UUAAAUGCGUCUUCAUCACAUAAUUCUCUUUCCACUUUUUUUUAAAACCCUUACCUUCCAUUUUAUAAUCAAUAUUACAUGUUGCUUCUAAAGCAUAAGAGUGGUAAAAGCUAGGUAAUUGGGGUUAAGUGACUUGCCCUGGGUCCCAUAGCUAAGAAGUGUUUAAGGCUACAUUUGAACCCAAGUCUUCCUGUCUCUUGUAGAGAUGAGUUGCAAGGAUUUGACAGCCAGGCCAUGAGACACCGAACCCCAGAGAACCUUCAGUGUUGGUAGGGGAAAGAUUCCAAACAGUUGAGGGGACUGUUGAUCUCUUGGGGGUUGGCAGCUACCAAAGAAGCUAGAGAUGGCUGAUCUGUGCUCCUGGGACAUCUUUGGAUCAUCCUACAAGCAGCCCUUUGAAGCAGGAGUGGAUAGUUUUUCAAUGCCCUUAGGCAGACUAAGGGACAAUAUUGGGAGUUCCAGCCAUUCUCUGGACCAUCUAGGACUCCUCAUCUGGACUCCAACCUCUCCUUGCCAAAAGAUUCUAUAUGAGUAGCACCAGAGCUGAGUACUCAAGAAAGAUUAGAAGUUUCAAAGACUCCUUUGACAAGCUGGUGAGUCUAUGGACACUUCAAAAUAAUGUUGUGGUCCCUGUAAUCCCUGUAAUUCAGAAAACCUCAAGUUAAAAACCCUCGAUAUAAUGGAGAGAGUCUAGUCCUUGAGAUUGGAGUUAGAAGACCUGAGAUUUAAUCAGAGCUAAUUUUUGCCUCCUAUGUCUUUAAAACUCUUUUUUUUUAUCUGUAAAAAGAAAGAAUUGAAUUAAAUUGGUACUAAAGUCCCUGCCAACUCUAACAA